UGAAGAAUGAGACUGAUGUGAGAGCAGCUGUUUGUCACCGCCCCUUCAUUCCUGUUGGCAGUUUAGUUUCACUUUGUGUGCUCGUCGUCGUGUCGCAGCUUCUUGUCUCCAUCUAAAGACCUGGUCCAGACAGCAGAGAGCUGCAGAGUGAUGAAGUCCAUGAGAAGAAACUGAGAGGCUGCAGGUUAUCACCAACAUGAAAAGGAUCCAUCAGAGACCAGACUCCCCUGGACCUGGACCUGAACCUGACCCCAGCUGUGUGUCCCUUCAGACUGACCAGUCACAUGAACAUGGCAUCGAUGUUAAAGGACGAAAAGUCUCUGCUGCACAUUUCCAGCAGCAGAGAGAAAAGUCCCCUGUACCCAGCUGUGUGUCCAUGAAGAGUGAUCAGUCAAAAGGUGGUUGGAUUGACUUCAAAGACGGACGUCCUUCUU